GAUGAACGCUGGCGGCGUGCCUAAUACAUGCAAGUCGAGCGAACGGACGAGAAGCUUGCUUCUCUGAUGUUAGCGGCGGACGGGUGAGUAACACGUGGAUAACCUACCUAUAAGACUGGGAUAACUUCGGGAAACCGGAGCUAAUACCGGAUAAUAUUUUGAACCGCAUGGUUCAAAAGUGAAAGACGGUCUUGCUGUAACUUAUAGAUGGAUCCGCGCUGCAUUAGCUAGUUGGUAAGGUAACGGCUUACCAAGGCAACGAUGCAUAGCCGACCUGAGAGGGUGAUCGGCCACACUGGAACUGAGACACGGUCCAGACUCCUACGGGAGGCAGCAGUAGGGAAUCUUCCGCAAUGGGCGAAAGCCUGACGGAGCAACGCCGCGGGAGUGAUGAAGGUCUUCGGAUCGUAAAACUCUGUUAUUAGGGAAGAACAUAUGUGUAAGUAACUGUGCACAUCUUGACGGUACCUAAUCAGAAAGCCACGGCUAACUACGUG
rnacentral:rRNA from 1 species